rnacentral:rRNA from 1 species
UCGGGAAUUUUGGGCAAUGGGCGAAAGCCUGACCCAGCAACGCCGCGUGAAGGAUGAAGUAUUUCGGUAUGUAAACUUCGUAAGAAUAGGAAGAAUAAAUGACGGUACUAUUUGUAAGGUCCGGCUAACUACGUGCCAGCAGCCGCGGUAAUACGUAGGGACCAAGCGUUGUUCGGAUUUACUGGGCGUAAAGGGCGCGUAGGCGGCAAUUCAAGUCAUCUGUGAAAUCUCCGGGCUUAACUCGGAACGGUCAGAUGAUACUGCUUUGCUAGAGUGCAGAAGGGGCAAUCGGAAUUCUUGGUGUAGCGGUGAAAUGCGUAGAUAUCAAGAGGAACACCUGUGGCGAAGGCGGCCACCUGGUUGGAUACUGACGCUGAGACGCGAAAGCGUGGGGAGCAAACAGGAUUAGAUACCCGAGUAGUCCCUGAGCGGGCUGGCAAGGCGCAU